rnacentral:lncRNA from 1 species
GGCCGUUAUAUAACUUUUGUCUGCUAUUAUUUAUCCAGCAGUGAAUCUUGAAAUAAUUUGAAUUACUACAAUUCCAUGGGCUAUAAAUUUUAUUGAGGAUUCAAUUUUAUUAAGGAUUCAGCUUCUGUAUCUUAAUAACAUUGGUAGUCAUGUUUCCCACUUCCUUGGUUGUGGUUAUACUUGGGUGUAAGGAUCAGUUUGUUGUCACUUUAAGUAAGCUAAUUUCAUUAUUCCCUUGCUGCUCUUCAGCUUUUAUGUAAAUCUGACUCCAUUAUCUUUAUUUUCAAGAUGAAGGAAUAUCCAAGGUAAUUAAUUAAAUGACUUAUACAUUGUGAGUGUCAGGUCAACAUUGAUUAGGGCCCGGGUCUUCUAACUUCUUGGUUGGUAUUUUUCCUACUCAGCUCCCCAUUAACCACAUCAUCUGCACCGUCCCAGUUGAAAUCAGUUACUCAAGUGAAAGCUGGUAAAGUGAGGGCUUGAUUUACACAGGUUAAGCAGGUGAAAGCCAAAGCAAACAUUUUCUUUCCCCCACUAAGAAUUUGCUAAUUUGAAAAAUCAUACAUUAUAACAGAAUUUUGAAUGGUUUAGAUUGAGUUCCUUUUCUUAUCUUUUUAAACCAAAUGCAGGAUACAAGCCACAGAGUGCCAGACUUUAAGUCUAUAAUGUGUAAGAAAGCCAAAUUAAACAUUUUUUUUCUCCAUUAGAAUCUACUAAUGUGAAAAAUCAUAUAUUGUAAGUCAGAAUUUUGAACAAUUUAGAUUGAGUCCCACAUUUCUCAUCAUUUUAAACCAAAUGUAGGAUACAAACCACAAGCCAAGUACCAGACUUAAGUCUGUAAUGUGUAAUUUAUACUUAACGGAUACUGUUUCUGUAUAGGUAAUCUUUCAUAUUGAUCUUAGGUGAAUAUUACAAGAUAUUUGUUUUGGACAAAGUAAAGGAUUAAUGGCUUUAGAGUUGGGGGUUCAGAGAAAUUACAUGAAUCAUUCCCUUUCAGGUAGGUAAGACAUUACCUAUUUUAAAGAUAAACCAAACCCAAAGAGGUUGUUAAGUCAACUAAUAUGUACUGCAGUGGAACUAGGGACUACCUCUACUAAUACAGUGUUCUUUUGACUCUUAAUCAUGUUGACUUUGUGAUGUUGUAUGCUUAUCUGUGAACACAUUACCCUUUCUAGAUUUAGCUUUCUGAGAGCUGAAUGCUUGGAGCUCUGUGAGUAAUAACUAAGAAAGGUGGCCUCCUGGCUAGCCAUG